rnacentral:lncRNA from 1 species
UUUACCAUGAGCUAGGGUUGGCCACAUCACAGGAUAAGAGUUUCCAAUUAGAGUGGAAAAAGUAUGAGACUUCACAUUAGAGAUUGAGGAUUCGAAUGGACACAAAAUAUCUGCCAAAACAUGAAUCAAGAAAACUAAACUGAUUCAACAACACUUGUCUGUAGCGUGAGCUAGGGUUGGCCACAUAAAAGGCUAGGAGUGUCCAAUUUGAUUGGAAAAAGUAUGAGAGUUCACAUUAGAGAUUGAGGAUUCGAAUGGACACAAAAGAUCUGCCAAAACAUGAGUCAAAAAAAUUGAACUGAUUCAACCAUACCUGUCUGUACCGUGAGCUAGGGUUGGACACAUCAAAGGCUAGGAGUGUCCAAUUUGAGUGGAAAAAGUAUGACACUUUAGAGAUUGAGGAUUCGAAUGGACACAAAAUAUCUGCCAAAACAUGAAUAAAGAAAACUAAACUGAUUCAACAACACUUGUCUGUACCGUGAGCUUGGGUUGGCCACAUACAAGGCUAGGAGUGUCCAAUUUGAUUGGAAAAAAUAUGAGAGUUCACACUAGAGAUUGAGGAUUCGAAUGGACACAAAAUAUCUGCCAAAACAUGAAUCAAGAAAACUAAACUGAUUCAACAACACUUGUCUGUACCGUGAGCUAGGGUUGGCCACACAAAAGGCUAGGAGUGUCCAAUUUGAUUGGAAAAAGUAUGAGAGUUCACAUUAGAGAUUGAGGAUUCGAAUGGACACAAAA